rnacentral:lncRNA from 1 species
UUCAAUGUACUGCACUUUGUUGAUUAGUUCCUUGAAACUUAUCUUUUGAGUAGUUCCUUAUCAGAAUGAAAACAUGUAUGAAAAAUAAUUGCUUCCAGGACAACUUUAGCGCCUUUUCCUCUUUUCAGAAUCUAUAUUUGAGCUACCCCAUCCACACAUUCAACAAUUUUUUGAGUCACGACUAUCUCUUGGCUUACCACCCCUUCCAUGCCUGCACUCUGCAAUGACGGUAGAAUGUGGCUUUUAUUGUUGUGCUUUCUUAAUGCAAGACGCCAGGAUCUAUGAAUUGUGAAGCUGAAAUUUGCAAACAGUGAUCAAUUCUUUUAAGAUUUUCCCUAUAUUUCUUAUGUGCUUGUCCGCAGUAUAUAAAUUUAUUUCAAUCAUAGAACACUAAAACAAUACUAUCUGGGGCUUUCUGAUCCAUCACCACAAAUGAAGAACAGAGAAACAUGAGCACGGGAACCAAAAAUUGAGAUGCUAAAUGAGAGGGAUAGGGCUCACAGUGAGGGUCUUCUCAUUGCCGCAUCAUUGACAUCCGCUCUACAAACAUCUCGCCGGAGUCACCCACGCCUUAUUCUUCGAUCACCCCGACCCCCUCCUGUGGUUGCCGUCAGCACUGAACAUGAAUAGAAGGUUCAACUGGUGAUACUCUAGAUCUAACAGUAGGUGCAACGUAGAACCUACAUCCAUGCUUGACAGAUCAAACAUUUUUGUACCUCCUGCCAACAGUAUCAAGCAUCACAAGAACUGCUUUAACUUGGACUAAUGAUAGCGUUGUAUAUCAUGUAUGGAAGAAGGAAGACGAUAAGGAUUUCAUGACUGUGUAGCAUUGGCAAGUCCCUUGUCCAUGACUUCAUCAAUAACCGCUUCAUAGGUGCGCAAUCCUCUAAAGUGUACUUCCAUCCUACAUAAUCACCAACAGAACAUCACUUCAGGCAACAAAAAUAAUGACAAUGUACCCGGAUUUAGAAUAAUCACCCACGCUUGACCUUCCACAUCCCCAGAUUCUGACAAGAUUAUGUUUGUAUUUAAUUUUCUAUUCUACUUGGUUCUUUACUGAGAUGCUGUUAAAAUAUAUGGACAGUUCAUUUAUCAUCUAAUCCUUGCCUUAUUAUUGAAGAAUAAAUUCAGUAAAGAGAGUAAAUACUAAAUAGGCAACAAUAAAAUUUACUCUGUUAGAUUAUGCUUAGAAAAUAAGAAAACCUACUAAGAAAGUAAUAGAUACAGAUCAUGUCACAUGACAAACUAUAACUACAUUCAAACAUACCUUUACAAAAGCGGCUAUUGUUGUAGAUGACCCUUGUUCAUUUCGGCUAGCCCCUUCUCAAACUGGUAGUUUCCAUCUUGUGCCUACUAGUGGAGCCAUCACAAUGGCUUGAGGUUGAUCAAGUGCUGAUUCAGCUUAGAGCCACAGCCAGAAAAUUCCCAUCGACCUGUUCACAUGCAAGCCAAACAAAUGAUGGAAUUUGUUAGUGCUUGGGAAAACAUGACGGAGAAUCAUAUUACCUGGAGAAACAACACCUAAACUGGCAGCGCAGUCUUCCACUCGCAUGUGCUACGGAUCUUGCCGUUGUCGAAGAAGACAGCAACAGUACUGACCGGCGGAGGCUCUGGUCGCGGCAUGGCGAGGAAACUAGUAGCAAGCAUCUCGUCCGAAUCGCUCUGCUGGCCGUUGCUUCCCGUGUUGACACAUCAACACUGGAUUGUAGACUUGAUAGCGAAAUCAGUGAUUGCAAGGGCAUUAUCCGGUCGAUCCUUUUUAAUAU